UGGGGAAUAUUGGGCAAUGGGCGCAAGCCUGACCCAGCAACGCCGCGUGAGGGAAGAAGGUCUUCGGAUUGUAAACCUCUGUCCUUGGGGACGAAAAAAAUGACGGUACCCAAGGAGGAAGCUCCGGCUAACUACGUGCCAGCAGCCGCGGUAAUACGUAGGGAGCGAGCGUUGUCCGGAAUUACUGGGCGUAAAGGGUGCGUAGGCGGUUUGGCAAGUCAGAUGUGAAAUCCCCGGGCUUAACUCGGGUGGUGCAUUUGAAACUGCUGAACUUGAUUGCAGGAGAGGAAAGCGGAAUUCCUAGUGUAGCGGUGAAAUGCGUAGAUAUUAGGAGGAACACCAGUGGCGAAGGCGGCUUUCUGGACUGUAACUGACGCUGAGGCACGAAAGCGUGGGGAGCAAACA
rnacentral:rRNA from 1 species